UAGGCCUGAGAGUGCUAGGUUGUUUAUCUAGACCAGCCAAGCUCCGGAGAGCAAUGUUGAAUCCCUGGGAACAGAGAGCAUGGGGCGUGCUGAUUUAAAAACAGAAAAUGCAAAGUUGGACUGAAAAUAUCCUUAGUCUUCCAAGCAAUCUGCUUAAGGGUUCCAAACUUACCUUCAUUUGGUGACAAAAGAAGCUGCCCUAUUUUUCUUUCUUCUUCUUGUUCUUCUACAACUGGAACCAGCCAUUUCCAAAAACCACCACCAUG
rnacentral:other from 1 species